CCUAAAAUUUCUGCUUGACAGAUGGAACUGCUUAGAGACUAUCAUGCGAUGUUUUGGGCUUUUUUUUUUUUUUCUGGCCCCCCCCUUCGACUUUAGGUCUGAUUCAGUAUCUGUUUUUCACAGCCAUUUCUCUCAAGAACGUGAGCUGUGCAUUUAAAAAAAUGUUUAGUUCAGUUUUCCUGUCUUACACAUUUCAUUGGAAGCAAAGCAAAAAGUCUAAAACUAAAUCUGGGAACAGCUGAACAGGUUUUCCAAGGAAUAAAAAAAAAAAAAUUCUGGGGAAAAAUAUUUCUCUUACCUUCUUUUUUAAAAAUUAAUUCAUUAGUUAAUUUGAUUGUGAAGGAACAUAAACAUGAGAUGACAGUGGUUGAGUCCCUUGAUUUUUGGUUCGGCUGGCACUGUAUUUAGGAGUGUGUUUUUGUGUGAGGAAAUACAUUACUGAUAUUUCACAAGUUCUAACCUAGGCUAGGCUACACGCCAUCUCUAGUUUUUGGUGUUCUUUUUUUUUUUUUUUAAAUUAAUUCUGAGCUUUUUGAUUCUCUGUGAAUAAAGUGAUCAGUCAUUAUCAAUUCAGUUUAACACAGUUCAGGCUAAACUUGACAUGAGUACUUCCUUAUUCAGGGAAAAUCACAUCUGAUUUCCUUACUGUAACCAAGCCAUCUUCUUCACAGGGGUUUUUAACCACACAUCCUCUCUUUAGAGGAAAAAAUAAACCACAGCACGGACCUACCAAUAAGAGUGACUGUAAAAAUGAUUUUUUUUUUUUUUAAGUGAGAAGUCCAGGCAACUGCUGAAUUUCAAGUCAUUAUACUUGACUACUAAGAGGGGAGAAGAAGUAGAGAGAAUAUCAUAUAUUUGUUAUAUUUUAUUCUUUCAAACUGUGUCAAUUAGGAACUGCAGAAAUAACUUUAUAAGAGCCGUGUACCGGGCACAUCUUAUUUAUUUAUUUAUUUUUCUGGAUAUAAGUGGUUUCUUGAUCCCCAAGAACCCAGCAGUGAUAUUACAGCUCUCUACACUGCAGGGCUUCUGUACAGGCACUCCCGGGCCUGGGGGAAUUUAUCUACAGCAUUUUUCAGGGCGAUUGAACUGUGAUUAUUUAAAAACUUGUGCAUUUACAGCCCAACUAUCCAGUGGAUUUUUUUCUAGUCACAUUUUCAACUGAAUAAUAUUCAGAUGAACUUACUCAGGACAUAUUUUAAGUUCCAAAAAGGUUGAAUUUGGCAGCCUUUGCUUUCCUAUUUCUAACCUCGCCCUUAGUGGGUGUUAUUUUAACUAUUUAGCAUGAGGUAAAUAGCUGUUUUGACAAAAUUUCAGUAAAGUAAAUUUUAUCCUGUUGCAUCCGAAAUGGUUUAUAAUUUAAAACACGACACCCGGACUGCUUCUACAGAAUGAGCCACAAAUGUAACAAAUAAGACGUUUUUUUCUCUCCCAUUCCUCAUUGUAAUGGGAUAUUUUUUUCUAAUAAGAUGGGGGUGGAAGGUGGUAUCGGAAAUUAUUAUCAAAUAUGGCUACUGUCAUCACUCCUAGAAGCAUCUUUACAGUUUUCAUUACCCUGGAAGUACCUCACUUUUCAGAAAAAGAAUCUGCAGCAGCAUAGGAAAUGUUAAGUUGCCUUCGGUGUCCACAAGCAAAUGGACCUUCUGCCAGGAUCUGGCCCUGAGCUGGCCAGCCAAAACAUUUGUUGUCUUGCAUAACUGCAAUGUCAUUAAAAUGACCUGGUCUUUCUGCAGUUUACUAUUUCUAGAAAGAAAAGGAAAAAAAUGCUGGAAAUUCUACAUAGAAUGAAAAAUAGCAUAAACCAGGAAAAAAGGGGGGGGGAGGGAAUAAGAAAGGAAAUGAAGCAGCAUUCUGCGUUUGAAUCAACCUAUUUCAUCCUUUCCUACUUGCCUCUGAAAAGCAGACAAAACCAAAGUUUCUUCCCUUUAGGGUCUUCUCAGCUUUGUCCAGGGCAAGGAGGCACAUGGGCAUUUUGGAUUCGUGGGCCUAAGCUUUAACAAUUUCUAAGUUCGUCCCGCAGCAGCCUCUGAAGUUGGAGGUGUCUCUUAUCUGAGCUGCUGCAUUUCUGAGACUCGGAACAGCCUGGGCAUGCCCAUUAUUUAUGAAUGAAUGGGGCAUAAGGUAAACUGGAGUCCAGAUUUGACUCUGUGAAUGAUGGAAUACCGGGGAAGGUUUUACAAGAGAUGACACAGUAGUUUUGAACAAAGAAAUGAGAAAUAUUAUUGGAUAAUAGUGUUUUAAAUCCAGAACAAUUAGGUGCAUUUAACUUUAUCAUUGUUCUCUAAGAGGCUGGUGGAAGCUGUCCUUUCUCAUACAGCAAUCAGUCUUUUCACAGUGUGGCCCGUUGUUAAUAGCCUUAAAACAAGAUUAAAUAAAACAUGUUAAAUAUUGCAAUUAUUGUGGGAAAUAAAAUUAUUUGGUGAGCAUAAUGGGGAGCAAUUCAAGCAUUUAACAUGAUCCAGGAAAUGCUACUCCAAACAAUUGCAUUUGCUUUAUGCAUUUUUCCCCUUUGAUUGCUGACAGAUGCCUUUUUGGAAACAAACAUCUAAAUGGUUUGCUUUCAGUCAGAAAAAAAAAUAUAACAGAAAGUGGCUACAUGUUUUGAAUUUAACUCUUGUGAUUUGAAUACUUCUUUCCACUGCACGUGAAUGAAUCUGAGGCAAAAACAGAACCCUCAUCAAGAAAUAACCCCAUCAGGAUUUGGACUUUCUGACUUCCUUUGAACAUGUUUUAUAAGAAGUGGGAAUCCUCCAGCUAUGAAGUCAAGUGGUGGGAGAAACCGCUGGGCAUUCUGCACGCUUUGUUUCUAGAGCCAUUGGAAAAUCAAAACUCUAGGAGAAGAGGAACUUGAUUUUGAGUGCACCAUAUGAUAACAGCUAACAUGUAUCGAGUCCUUCCCCUUAAAUCCAGGUGGAAAAUCCUACAGUGGUGUUCAGGACAUCAGUGUCUCACCCUGAACAUGAGUGUGUACUCACGUGGGAGCUUUGGAAUAAGAGGAAGAAUCUACAUGAAGGGAGAGGCAGUCUAGUUCCUCCAAAGUCCAGAGAAAUGCCAGGGUCUUUGGUGGUAGAUUCAUUCCUUCUUGAUGAAAGUCGCCAAGUCUUCCGAACAGGUUAGUUUCAAGAGGCUUAAUGAGAAUGCAAAGAACAUCAAGUUGGGAACAGGGAGAUGAGGAUUCUAUCUGGGGCCAUGCCACUAACUCACUGCAUACUCUGGGGGCUUCUAAUGUGCAUCUGUUAGCUUUGAACAAAUGUUUGUCAAAUGAAGAUUAUUGGAUGAAAGUGCAUUGUAGAUCUCCAAGUUUUCCGGAGGUUCCACUGAGGUAUGGUCUUCACUGCCCAUUACAUGGACACCAGCCUUCGAGCAGGUGCAGCACCCACAGACGCCCCUUGUGCCUUGCUGUUCACAGCUGAUUGACUCAGUGCUUAUAUGCUGAGGCGGUUGAAACACAGGGAAAUGAAGUAUUUUAUCCACGGUGCCACAGCUGGGAUGUGCAGAGCAGGAAUCUUAACCAAGGAGUUGGGAAUCCACCGUGCUCUGUAAGACCAUGAACCUGUGUAGUUGGAAUUUCUUCUGCAUGGGAAAGGAGAAAGAGGUCACAAGCUCUUGCAUUUUUCCCCCCUUUUGGGAUUGCUCUUCACUCUGGAUGGUGAGGUAACCAACUUAAUUGUUUCCUGGUUUAUCCUCUUUUACUGGUAAAGACAGAUGCUUCCUUGUACAGCCAUUCCUGGGGACUGAGCAGUUUGAAGUUUCCAAAGAUGAAAACAUGGGUCAACGUGACAACUUUUACACAAGAGAAAAUGGAGCCGUGCGUGAUGAGCUGAAGUGGGUCCAGUGUGGUGCAGUCUUCUGACUCCAAAUUCAGAGUUCUUUCGAGGACACUCUAAUCCACAGUAUCGCAGGAAUCAGUGAGAAGCCAUCAGAGAUUGCUUUCCUGUGGUGCCUGGUGAAACACUAUGAAAGAAACCUUUUUUGCAACCCAGACUGUACAUGUAAAGGGAUGCUCAGACGUUCCAUAGCACUUCAGAUCCUCUUCUGCCCAAACGCCGAAUUUCCUCAGAAAUGGCUUAACAUUUUUUUUGGUCAAGCCAUAGUUGUGGACUCUUCUUUUCAUAGUUCUAGAAAAAAAAUCUCCUCUGUCUCAUUUUUCUUUGUACAAAAAAUGGUUAAAAUGGGACAAUGCCAUUUUUUUACCCUGAAUGGUGACUGCCAGCUAUUAAAAUGCUAAUUUCAAAAAAAAAAUACGAAAAACCAAAUAGAAGAGGCAAAGACAGCCAGGAAACAAGAGGAAUGAAGUCUACUGAGUGAUUAAUCAUUUGAUUAACCAGAUGACGACACAGCUAGAAGACAGCUAUCUGUGAACCAAGAAGCAGGCCGUCACCAGACUCUGGAUCUGCCAACACCUUGAUCUUAAGCUUCCCAGAACUGACUCUAAUUCCUAACUGGAAUAAGGGCCAUGUUUUCCCAUGACUGUGGGCUGCCUCCAGAAUCGUGGACAUCGGGAGACUGAGAGGCUGAAGAGGGGAAGUUUUCAUCUUGAUAUCUGUGGCCGCUUUAUGGCAGGGUCAAGUUGUCAUGGUACUCCACCUGUUUCCAGUCCUCAUGUCUACGCGAUGGCUCCUGUUCCAAGGCUUUCCUGCGGCUACGGAGGCAGGAAACACUACGGAGCCCUGAGGUUCAGUAUAAUUCAUGCAUGCUGGCUCACGGUGGUUGGGGGCUGCACGAACCCAGACAAGGAGAGCCACAGGCUUGCCACCUGCAGUGAGUCACCCCUCAGCUACUGCCAGCAGGCUGGCUUCAGGGAUCGAGGGAUCUGAUGUUCCUGAGGUUGCCAAGGGCUGGGUAAUACAGCUGGAUGUGUGAGGGAGUUAAUGCUACAUUGGAUUAGCUUUGGCGAUGGGUAAUUCUCUCGUUUUCUCCAUAUUCCUUUUCUAUAGAGAAUGAUAGUUUCAUGGGAUCUCUCAGACGACAUCCCCUGAGAGGGAGUUGUGACGAGUAUGGUAAUGCUCCUGGUCUCACUCCCCUUUCUCUGCCUCCUGUGUCCCUGGGAUGUGCUCUCCAAUGAAGUUUACCAUGAAAGCUUUUGACUCAGGGUCAUGCCUAAGACAGAAAGCCUCCUCUUGAGUCAGGGGUAUGCUAGCCUAUCUAAAUUGGGAUAUUCGAGCUAUCUGACAAAAAUGAAUACAGUUAUGAAGCUAGGGGGUUGAAAGAUUUUAAUAUUUGUCUAUUUUUCUGUAAGUUCUGGGAAUAAUAUAAGUUUUUUGUAGAAAAUUAAAAAAAACCAAACUUGUUAUCAAUGCACUCAUUUUCUGUCUUCCUCUCUGCCUUUCCUCACUUGCUCACCCAUAAAUCCAAAUAUUUGCUCUUUUUAUUGAUGAGGAAAAGCUCUGAUAUUCAUUCCCAGAGAGGCGCUAGGGAGUCACCACAUUACCUUUUCCAGGGAGAAGUUCAGUAUCUCUAGAAAUACCCCCAGAACUAGAACUGACAGGAACGUGAGGCACAAGAGGCCAGUAAGUACCAAAGACAUCACACUGUCGACUCAUUUGGCCUGUGCUCAGGUUGUAUUCCAGGUACAAGUGUGUGUGACGUGUGUUUGUGCAUUGCAGAGUGAGCAGUGAGGGGCAAACAGCAAGAGGAAAAGAGGUGUCAUCCCACAUCACUCUCUCCCUCAUUUUCCACUCGAAGAACCUCUUUCAGCAUUUCUCCUAAGGCAGGUCUAGUGUGGAUGAAUUCCCUCAGCUUUUGUUUGUCAGAGAAAGUCUUUCUCGCUCCGGUUCUGAAGGACAGCUUUGCUAGUGGUAACCUCCAGAGGACAGGAUUCUCCACGGCCCUGCUUCUUUGGUUGAUGAGCUCAUGUAAAGCCCAUGGUGGACGCCGCUGAUGGGCAGGUUCAAAGGCUCAAGUCCUGUCUGCCGAGGAGACUAUAAAAGCAAGCGUUCAGCCCCUUGAGCUUCUAUGGUGAGAAUCAUGCUGUGCUCCAACCAAGAUUUAUAAGAAAAGGACAAGCUCCACAAAAUCCCCUAGAGGAUUCCUCACAUCAUCCCUGAUCCAAAUUCUAAGUGAAGAAGCCUUUUGAGGUUUGGUUCAUCUGCUUACCCCUCCGUCUAUUGUUUGCAAUACACCUGUAAAGUUCUAGUCACUGUUAUAGGCCCCGAGGAUACCGAGAUGCAGAGACAUGGUUCCUCCUCCAAGACCUAGUAGAGGGACAGUUAAGUGGAGCAUUUGAGCACAGCUGAAUUGCUGGGAGCCUCGGUGGAAGAAAUCUAUUAGUGGACAAGAACAAAUUCUUUCAUUUUACAAGGGAUGGAAUUGCCAUACGCUUUGCUUGACUGACUUGCCUAACUCACCAAGCUGGCAAGGAAAUGGAGAUUAAAAGAUUUACCAAAGAAUGAUAAGAUCUCUAUUUUGAAACUUGCAGUGUAUCAGGGGGACCAUCCAAGGGAGAAAGCAUCACAGUGAGACUGCAGCAAGACCGUUGCUGUGCCAGACCCUUUUAAAAAUGUAAAGACCAUUGUCUGAUGAACCAUUUGGUGUGGGCUGCAAUUUGCAGAGUCCUGCUCUAGAUCUUUGCUGCUCCAAGUGUGGCCUGAAACUAACAACACUGGCAUCACCUAGAAAGUAGUUAGAACUGCGGAAUUUUGAGCCUCAACUCAGCUCUCCUGAAUUAAAGGUGUCUAAUUCUGAAGGCCACCGAGAUUGGUACCAGAGUCAUACCUACAGAAAUAGAGACAACCAGCAAGAGAGGGAACACAG